rnacentral:rRNA from 1 species
GGGAAUAUUGCUUAAUGGGCGAAAGCCUGAAGCAGCAACGCCGCGUGCACGAUGAAGGUCUUCGGAUCGUAAAGUGCUUUUUUAGAGGAUGAGGAAGGACAGUACUCUAAGAAUAAGCCUCGGCUAACUACGUGCCAGCAGCCGCGGUAAAACGUAGGAGGCGAGCGUUAUCCGGAUUUACUGGGCGUAAAGCGUGUGCAGGUGGUUUGGUAAGUUGGAUGUGAAAGCUCCUGGCUUAACUGGGAGAGGUCGUUCAAUACUGCCAGACUUGAGAGUGAGAGAGAGAGGUGGAAUUCCGGGUGUAGUGGUGAAAUGCGUAGAUAUCCGGAGAAACACCAGUGGCGAAAGCGGCCUCCUGGCUCAUUUCUGACACUCAUACACGAAAGCUAGGG